CUGUGUAGCCACGCAGGAGGAGCUCAGCCACCGAGCUGCUGACGAGAUCUUUGUUCCAGACCAGCUGUUUGAGUCGUGCGGUGGAGACAUCGUGCUCAUCGUUUCAUUUGUUUGUGGGAUUCUCUCUGCGGUCGUGCUGAUAGCUGUGUUUGUGUGUUUCCUCUACUUUACCGUCUAAUCGUCCAUGAAGAUUCUUAGAGAAACCAGAGUGAUGAUCCUUCUAAGGAUCCUUGUAACGGUGACACGGAGCUGCCACAUCAGACACUCAGAAGAAACUUCUUCUCUGUUCAGGACAACAGAUUCAUACGUCAGUGAAAUGAAAUCUUUACUUUCACUCUUGUCUCAUAUUGAGUCAGCGUGAAGGAAAUGCUGCUGUUUUAUAUUUAUUUUAAAGUUAUGGCUCAUGAUGAAAUGAAUGUUUUUUUAUUGUCACAUGAAGCAGCGACUUCCAUGAUGCUCAUGAAACAUGAAACAUGAUCAUGGCUGUUGUUACUGGGAAAUGAACACUAAGCUACAGUAAAGUCCAGCUUUGCUCUGCACUUUAAUGUUUGUGCUCUCACACUGUCAUUACCUUAUUAAUGCUGCGUUUCAUAUCUGUUUCAUAUCUGUGCUGUUUCAUUUAAUUAAGACAAAUAUGGCCUUCAUCUUUUAUUCAUUCUCUUAUUUCUCUAUGUUUGAAAUUAUUGUGCAGUGCACCAGUGCUAGCUGCGCCAAAUUUUGAGCGCACUGUUACUGGGCUCAGCUAACCCAUGUUUAACCAGGUAUUCAACUUCCCGUUGCAUUAAAAUCCACUUGGUUGUAUUUACUCUAUAAGCAUGUUGUUUUAUUGGCUUAUCAACUUCCACAACGAUAUCAUGAAAGAGCGCAGACGUCUGCUGAGGAUGGUCAGAGAAAAGCAGCAAAUUAGCUUCAAUCAGAUCAAGGAUAUCUUUGCGGGCGGAAUCUGACAUGUGACAGAAAAGAUUCUACGUCCUCUAACACUUCUGAGUUUCGCAAACGGGCCACAGGGAUACAACUGCUCUUCUCAAUCAAGUCAUCAUCUUGCAAAACAUACAGUGGUGGUGCCGAAAAAUUUUAAGAUUUGAAAUUUUGUAUAAAAUCCAGAAUAAAAUCUUUCCUUCUGAUUUAAUGAUUAUUUGCUGCUGUAGAGUAGCAG